GGGACGCACAGGAAGUCUGAGAACCACUAGGAACGGGGUCCUCUGCGCACGCUGCUGGGUUUGCUGAAUUGAUUAGCAGCGUUUUCCAACUCGGAGAGGUUCAGGCCCACUCGGGGCUGCCCGUUUCAUUGGUCCCUUGUGGGGACCCAACUCCCACGUUUGGUCUAAAGAAUCAGAACCAGUUGGCUCAGAGAGCCUCCCCAGCAGCCUGACACACUGUCACGCCCAGGCUAAAUACAAGCACCAGCAGACAGGCUGCCGCCAGCUUCCUCCAAAGGGCACCCUGGUCAACAAACCCUCCCUGGUCCAGCUAACUAGGUGGGCAUAUUAUUCAUCGACCGACUAGAGUUGAACAACGUCCUUAUCUCCCCACCGGGUGACCCGUCCCAGCUGCGAGCCCUGACGCUGUCACACAGGAAAGGUGACAAUGAAACUGAGACAAAGAAGAGCUCCAAGGAGAAAACGUGCCCGCUUAAUCUCUAGCUUACAGGGAAUCCUCACAGAUGCCCCCCCGAGAGCACGGGACACAGGACAGGCCUUCCCCCCCACCCCCCGCCCACGGCACGGAGGUGACUGUCUGCUGAGAUCUGAGCUGCCGGGGCUCCGGGGCAGGUCUGACAGGCACUCAAAUGUUGCCUGAGAGCCAACCCUGCCCUGGUCCUCCCCGCCUUCCUGCCUCGGUCAGAGAGGCCGGCAGUACAGACAACCCCCAACAUCUCCGUGGCCUGAGACAGCGGAAGUGUGUUUUAUGCUCCCGGGACAUGGGUGUCUCUAUUUCACCCUUUUCAUUUUCAUAUUUGCCCGAACCCCAUGACACACAGUUUACAUUGUUGUCACAGAGCGCAACUGUUCUGGGCAAAGAACCAAUUGCUCGGCCAGUCUGGCUAAACCAGGUCACGCUGUGGUAACAACAGCCAUCCGCCGCAGACCAGGCUUGUCGCCGUCACGCAGGGCUCCAGGCUGCGGCAGGAGCCCCGCUCUCAAACGUGGCCGACCGUCCUGUCGCGCAGGGCCUUGAGCUGGUCAUUAAACAUUCCAACCGGGAGGUGAAAUCCAGCACGCGCUGUCCACACUCUACUGGCCAGAACUCACAACCCCACCCCACAACAAGGGGGACAGGACAGACAAUCCAGGGUGGAGACAGAGAGCUGAUGACCACCCACCCGCAAACACACACCCACGGCCCCCCAGGGCUGGUGCCUGACAUUCUUACACCCGAGCUUCAUGCCUUUCCCGCCCCUGCGAGAAGCCAAGCUUUCUCCUGGUCUUUGUCAUUUUCACUCCAGGAUAAAGGAAAGCUUUCCAAGCCAGUUUAGAGAGAGGAAUCUAUGAAGAUGAUUGAAAUGUGAUUUUCAAAGAAAAUGACAGGGAACAGACGUUAUUACAAUAUAUAAUAUCACAAUCUCACAGUAUAUAACAACACUCCACUCUAUAACAUAACACACUUUUAGCUAUAACAGGCAGUUGAAAUUAAAGGUUUUCUAGUGAUGGCAACAUGACGGGACACCAGAUAGGAGUGCGAGAGUGAGUCAGGCAGAAUGUACAAAGGAAAAUUUCAAGAAUGAGUUUAACAACAGUUCAAGGAUACAAAAGGAGGCCAGAGAAGGCCUGCCCUGCAAGUACGGCCCCUUGAAUCCCAUCAAAAGCCGAUGGCGUCAGUUCUGCGAGGAUGCUUUGUGACUCUAACCAGCCGUCCUUUUCUUUUCUCCCCUCAAGAGAGAAGGGUGGGAGAGACCUUGGAAAGGAAGCCAU
ensembl:lncRNA